UACUUAGUGGCAGACGGGUGAGUAACAUGUAGGUAUCUGCCCUUUGGCCUGGAAUAACACGAGGAAACUUGUGCUAAUACCGGAUAAGUCUUUACGGAGAAAGCUUUAUGCACCAUUGGAUGAGCCUGCACUUGAUUAGUUUGUUGGUGGGGUAAUGGCCUACCAAGACUGUGAUCAAUAGCUGAUUUGAGAGGAUGAUCAGCCACAUUGGGACUGAGACACGGCCCAAACUCCUACGGGAGGCAGCAGUGGGGAAUCUUGCACAAUGGAGGAAACUCUGAUGCAGCGAUGCCGCGUGAGUGAAGAAGGCCCUUGGGUUGUAAAGCUCUUUCGUCGGGGAAGAAAAUGACUGUACCCGAAUAAGAAGGUCCGGCUAACUUCGUGCCAGCAGCCGCGGUAAUACGAAGGGACCUAGCGUAGUUCGGAAUUACUGGGCUUAAAGAGCUCGUAGGUGGUUGAAAAAGUUGGUGGUGAAAUCCCAGAGCUUAACUCUGGAACUGCCAUCAAAACUUU
rnacentral:rRNA from 1 species